UACAGAGGUCUCAAGCGUUGUUCGGAUUCAUUGGGCGUAAAGAGCGUGUAGGCGGCCGAGUAAGUCCGGUGUGAAAACUCGAGGCUUAACCUCGAGAUGUCAUCGGAAACUAUUCGGCUAGAGUCCGGAAGAGGAGAGUGGAAUUCCUGGUGUAGCGGUGAAAUGCGCAGAUAUCGGGAGGAACACCUAUGGCGAAGGCAGCUCGCUGGGACGUUACUGACGCUGAGACGCGAAAGCGUGGGGAGCAAACAGG
rnacentral:rRNA from 1 species